rnacentral:rRNA from 1 species
GAUGAACGCUGGCGGCGUGCCUAAUACAUGCAAGUCGAGCGAACGGACGAGAAGCUUGCUUCUCUGAUGUUAGCGGCGGACGGGUGAGUAACACGUGGAUAACCUACCUAUAAGACUGGGAUAACUUCGGGAAACCGUAGCUAAUACCGGAUAAUAUUUUGAACCGCAUGGUUCAAAAGUGAAAGACGGUCUUGCUGUCACUUAUAGAUGGAUCCGCGCUGCAUUAGCUAGUUGGUAAGGUAACGGCUUGCCAAGGCAACGAUGCAUAGCCGACCUGAGAGGGUGAUCGGCCACACUGGAACUGAGACACGGUCCAGACUCCUACGGGAGGCAGCAGUAGGGAAUCUUCCGCAAUGGGCGAAAGCCUGACGGAGCAACACCGCGUGAGUGAUGAAGGUCUUCGGAUCGUAAAACUCUGUUAUUAGGGAAGAACAUAUGUGUAAGUAACUGUGCACAUCUUGACGGUACCUAAUCAGAAAGCCACGGCUAACUACGUG